rnacentral:ncRNA from 1 species
UAGAAUACUAGUUAAAGAAACUCUGUGAGUGGAGUAUUAGAGUUAGGGAGAUAAACACAUUGAGCUAUCAAACCCCCUCUUGAGGGAUAAAACCACACAGACUCUGAAACGAAAGGAAAAUACCACUUAAUGACAUUUUCAACCAUUUUUAGCAGCAAUUAGAGGAGAGCCAUUAUUGAUUUCUGCGACAUCUCCACAGGUUUGGAUGGAUAGGGAUCCUCUGCCUCUGUCGAUGUUUAAAUGGAACUUGUGACCCUUGAAUAUCUCCAAUCCUGCACAGGUUUGGAUGGAUAGGGAGCGCUCCUCUUCCUCUAUCGAUGUAUCAACUCCUGCACGUGGGGUUUGUCCAGAUAGGGUUGCUCUCAUAUGCCUAGGGCUUCUCUCUUCUUGUUGUCUCCACUCUUGCAUGCAAGGUUUGGCCGUAAAGGGUUACUCUCAUGCACAUAGGGCUUCUCUCGGGUUUCUAUUGUGAAUGGGUGCGAAUGAAUUAGCUUAUAUAUAUAUAAAUUAACCUUUUCAAAAUUGGUACGGAUAAGGGGAAUCCAACUGUUUAAUUAAAACAAAGCAUUGUGAUGGUCCCUGUAGAUGCUGACACAAUGUGAUUUAUGCCCAGUUCUCUACAUGUCAAAGUGAAGAAAUUCAACUAAGCGUGGGUAAACGAUGGGAGUAACUAUGAAUCUAUUAAUGUAGCUAUAUGCCUCAUCAUAUAAUUAGUGAUGUACAUGAAUGGAUUAAUGAGAUUCCCACUAUCCCUAGCUACUAUCUAGAGAAACCACAACCAAGGGAACAUGCUUGG